GACAGAGGGUGCAAACGUUGUUCGGAAUUACUGGGCGUAAAGCGUGUGUAGGCGGUCCACUAAGUCGGGUGUGAAAGCCCUGGGCUCAACCCAGGAAGUGCACUCGAAACUGGCGGGCUAGAGUAUCGGAGAGGUUGGUGGAAUUCUCGGUGUAGAGGUGAAAUUCGUAGAUAUCAGGAGGAACACCGGUGGCGAAGGCGGGUCUCUGGGCAGUAACUGACGCUGAGGAGCGAAAGCGUGGGGAGCGAACAGG
rnacentral:rRNA from 1 species